AUACCAGAAUGAGAGAGCAAAGACGAAUUCAAUAAGAAAAAGAAGAAGAAUCGAACAGCUGGGGCGAAAUUGAAAGCGGCUCAUCUGGAUGAAAUGAAAAGGCUGUUAGAUGUAAUGCAGGAACGUGCUCCCGAUGUUGAACAUCAGUUCAAAGAAAAGUCAAAUGAGUUGGAAAUGGCGCAGCUUAUCAUACGCCAGUUGUCGGAUAAGGCCAAUGUAAACCAAGGCGGCAAUCGUAUAGAGACCUUGACGUAGACGCAAUUUAUGUACGAGGAACAGAUUAGAGACUUACAAUCUAUGGUGCAGGAAUUUAUGAUGGUCACAAAAUAUAUUGGCAAAAACAUAGCAAGUGCAUAUGCCAAGUUGGAAAAAUUGACAAUGCGUGAGUAUAAAAUGAAAAGGUGUUCUUAAUUAUAAAUAUUACUUUACCUUUU